CACCUCUCAGGGUCGCACCUGGAGAGUUUCCAGUCCUCUGCCAAUCUCGACUGUGGGAGGGAGAGUCAAGGAGAGGCCUACCCAUUCCAUUCCUAGCUUGGGCAGUGGCUAGCGAGUGGAAGGCAAGCUGCUACCAGU